CAACCACAUAGCAACAACCUGACAACCACCCAGAAUAUGGUCCAAGCAAUUAUCCAUAACAUAAACAAACACUGUUUAAAAUGAUUUUAAUACUAUUUUUAACUGUAAGGAUUUUUACAGUCGAAACAGGAACUAAGUACAGCACUAAAUGUACCGACAGCCUAAUUUAAAGCUGAAAUCAAGAAUCUGGAUUGGGCUUUGAUGAAGACCUGUCGCGCAACUUCGUCACGCGCGCAAUGUGAGGAAAAGUUGGUGUCAGACAAACUUUCUGAAAGACCCUCUACAAGUGCCCAUCCAGACUCUCACUGAUCUUUAGACAUCCCGUGCGGUCGCUAUGAUUGUUUUCAGUGUCGUUUUCGGUCAAUCUGACGCGAAAGGAUCGAGGAUGGUCCGAUGCGCAAAAUGGGGAUCUGUCAGUUCAUAAGGAGGAUAUCAAAGCAGCUCGACGGAAUGAAAACGUUUCAGUUGUUUUGGCAUCAUUUUGUUUAUCCAGAAGGCAAACGUGGCUCGAAUGCUGAGGAAGGAGCUGCCAGAUAUCGAGAAUAUUUUGGCCUUGAACCGACGGGUGCAGACGUACACCGGGCUUUACUCGGAGAAGAAACCAGAGAUAAAGCGCUGGAAGGGGAACCCGGAGAAAGGCUGCGAGGGAUGUGCGGGUGUCGCUCAAAGCUGCCGUAGCUCCGUGGCACAGUUAUCAUUUUGGGAGCUGGAGACGUGGCCUUUCGACUGUGUCACUUCUUCCCCGCGUGUGGUCUUCAGGAAGGGCUUCACCAACAUACGGGCGGUACCUGAAGAGUGAUAGAGGCCAUGGCUCCCAUCAGGUUAAACAGAUGGGGGCUUCCAGAGCUGAACCCAUGAGCAUGCAGACCAGUGAGCCGUGGGGUUUUGCUGGGGGCGAUGUGACCGUUCUGGCCAAUACAACCUUAGAGGCAGUCAAUAAUGGAAAACAGGCCUCAUGACGUACACAUACUUACAGGACAUCUCUGGGCAGAGGGUCAGCGAUCCACCCUGGCUGUCUCUUGUGUACUCACCUAUAGACAUGGUGGACAUCAGAUGUGUGAGAUCACCUUCCCCAACCCGUUUGGCCUGGCCAGUGCUUUGCCCGCUACCAGCGCCACCAUGAUUCUCCGGGCCUUCGAGCAGGGGUUGGGGAUUCGCCCUCACCAAAACCCUCUCACUGGAAGGAUUUGGUGACCAACGUGUCUCCGUGUAUUAUACGUGGGACCACCUCUGGACCCUGACAGGGUUCCUUUCUCAACGUUGAGCUGAUCAACGAGACCAGGCGUAAAGACUGGUGCCAAAACGUGAAGGAGCUCAAAGCUGAUUUUCCUAAGAAUCACAGAUUGUCAUAUCCAGCGUAAUGUGCAGCUACAACAAAGCUGAUUGGACCGAGCUUGCCAAAAAGGCAGAGAUGCCUGGAGCUGAAUCUAUCAUGUACUCAUGAAAUGGAGGAAAGGUGAAUGGUUUUCGCCUGUGGGCAGGAUCCCGAGCUGGUACCAAACAUCUGCCGUUGGGUUCGACAGGCUGUUCGCGUUCCUUUCUUUGCCAAACUCGCCCCUAAUGUGACCGACAUCGUGGACGUUGCCAAAGCUGCACAGGAAGGUGGAGCAGAUGGAGUCACAGCCACCGACACCGUUUCGGGGCUGAUGGGACUCAAGGCAGACGGCUCUCCCUGGCCUGGCAUCGGCCGAGGAAGGCGCACCACAUAUGGCGGAGUGUCUGGAAAUGCGAUUCGUCCAAAUCCACUACUACCACCACAAAGCUCUGCCUGUAUUUCCCAUUCUAGCCACCGGGGGCAUUGACUUUGCUGAGUCUGGACUCUAGUUGCUCCACGCCGGGCCACAGACUCUGCCCAAUUUUGACCCAUACCUGUAAGAAAAGAGGGAAGCCAUAGCAAACCACAGAGAGUGAGAGACCGUAAACCCAGUGGGCUUGCCGCCGAGAGGUUUUAGCCUCCCAUCACACCUGUAACACAGUUAAGGAUGUAAUAGCAAAAGCCCUGGAACACAUUGGCACCUAUAAGGACCUAAAUAUCCAGGAGCAAGUGCAGGUUCUGAUCGAUCCAGAGAUGUGCAUCAACUGUGGGAAAUGUUACAUGACCUGUAAUGAUGCCGGAUACCAGGCCAUCGUCUUUGACCCUGAGACUCGUCUGCCUGUGAUUCAGGACAGCUGUACCGGCUGCGCUCUCCGUGUCUCGGCGUCUGCCCCAUCAUCGACUGCAUCGAGAUCACCUUACGUGCCAAGACGAGGACUUCCACAAGUCGUGAAUCAUGAGCCAAUUAUCCAGAAAUAAUCCACGGGGUGAGCGUUGUGCUACAGUAUGUUGACAGUUUAGCGGGCCGAUUUGAUGAGAUGGAGUUUGUGCUUCUCUUUCUCCGAGGGCUGACGGGAAUGAAUCUAAGCGGUGGAAAUAUAAUGGCUGUUAAUGAAGUUUAUGCUCUGGCUGAACACUAUCGUCUAACCAGAGCCACAAUGAUGGAUUGUCCGCUACAUCUAGAACAAAAUGCAAUCAUAUAUACAAGAGGUGGUGAUAGGAAAAGAGGAAAUGAAUGGAUUUUAAUUGAGUAGUUGCUGGUUUGGCUUGGAAUCACACUUCAUGUUUUCCACAACGUAUAAUGAUUACUAAAGCGCGGUAUCCUAUCAAGCCAAAUUACCUCAACAACUGCAAAACUAACUUUAUUUAGCAUACCAUAAGGCAGUAUUUAAUUAUUAGCUGACAUCUUAUGAUUUAGCUCUAACCACACAAAUUACGGUAGUACUAUCGUAUUAUUUCAUGAAAAAUUAAACCCUUGGAAAAUAGAAUAAAGUUGGUAAACAAGAACAAAUCGUGCUUAACAGGUUAAUAACAAAUGGUUGAUUUUGAUUACAUUAGCCAUCUGGACAGGGUCAUUUGGAGAGCCGCUGUACUCCAGUAAUGUGCUGGACAUUUUGCGUAAAGGUCAUAUGAGACCCAGACAUUAGGGAUGAAGACUAGCUGUUAUUCAUCUUAGAUCCAAAAGGUCAAGUCUGACCACCUCUAUCUCUAAUGCACGGCCAUCCGUAUCACACAGUGAGGGAGCAGAUCUCUUAGGUCUAAGCUUGGUGUCUGUGAUACAAGCGAUCAGACGAAACAAUGGACAGACAUUCGGGUUAACUGUGUGUCUGUCAAUGUCAUUUAUGAAUGAAUGAAAUGUCCAAGUUAUAAUUUAUAAAGAAUGCAUAAAGAAAUAGAGCCGUUUACGUUUUUGCAUUUACAGGUUUUUGUCAAUGAAAUCAUCAUAUAUUUAAUUCAGAACAAUGUGUUGUUUUUCACAAUAAGAGUAAAGGAAAAUCAUAUCAAUGCAAUUGCAAAUAUCAAAUAUUUUUAGUUUUUUUUUUUUUUUGCUAAAAUAUGACCUGAACACAUUUACAGGUUUGUGAUCAAAUAAACCUUAUCAAAUAAAGUCCCUUAAUAAUAAUAAGCAAUUUCGUACAUUUGAUUUAGGAAAAACUAAUUCAUAGGUUCUCAGAUGUUUUUUGCAUAAUACUUAAUACUUAUCUUUUACUUAUAAUUUGUUCUUAUCUGUAACUGCACAAUGUUCUUAUCUCUAAA